CUACGUGCCAGCAGCCGCGGUAAUACGUAGGGUGCGAGCGUUAAUCGGAAUUACUGGGCGUAAAGCGAGCGCAGACGGUUACUUAAGCAGGAUGUGAAAUCCCCGGGCUCAACCUGGGAACUGCGUUCUGAACUGGGUGACUAGAGUGUGUCAGAGGGAGGUAGAAUUCCACGUGUAGCAGUGAAAUGCGUAGAGAUGUGGAGGAAUACCGAUGGCGAAGGCAGCCUCCUGGGAUAACACUGACGUUCAUGCUCGAAAGCGUGGGUAGCAAACAGGAUUAGAUACCCUGGUAGUCCACGCCCUAAACGAUGUCAAUUAGCUGUUGGGCAACUUGAUUGCUUAGUAGCGUAGCUAACGCGUGAAAUUGACCGCCUGGGGAGUACGGUCGCAAGAUUAAAACUCAAAGGAAUCGACGGGGACCCGCACAAGCGGUGGAUGAUGUGGAUUAAUUCGAUGCAACGCGAAGAACCUUACCUGGUCUUGACAU
rnacentral:rRNA from 1 species